AAAUAGGCUUUGUGUUAGAUGAUUUUGCCCUACUGUAGGCUGAUGUAAGUGUUCUGAGAACAUUUAAAGUAGUCUAGGCUAAUGGGCACUUAUGUUUGAUAGGU